GACGAACGCUGGCGGCGUGCUUAACACAUGCAAGUCGAACGGUGAAGCGAGUGCUUGCACUCGUGGAUCAGUGGCGAACGGGUGAGUAACACGUUAGUAACCUGCCCAUCACUCUGGGAUAAGCACUGGAAACGGUGUCUAAUACUGGAUACGACCAACCCUUGCAUGGGGUGUUGGUGGAAAGAUUUAUCGGUGAUGGAUGGACUCGCGGCCUAUCAGCUUGUUGGCGGGGUAAUGGCCCACCAAGGCGACGACGGGUAGCCGGCCUGAGAGGGUGACCGGCCACACUGGGACUGAGACACGGCCCAGACUCCUACGGGAGGCAGCAGUGGGGAAUAUUGCACAAUGGGCGAAAGCCUGAUGCAGCGACGCCGCGUGAGGGAUGACGGCCUUCGGGUUGUAAACCUCUUUCAGCAGGGAAGAAGCGAAAGUGACGGUACCUGCAGAAGAAGCACCGGCUAACUACGUG
rnacentral:rRNA from 1 species